rnacentral:rRNA from 1 species
GAUGAACGCUAGCGGCAGGCUUAAUACAUGCAAGUCGAGGGGUAGCAAGAUUGUAGCAAUACAAUUGUUGACGACCGGCAAACGGGUGCGGAACACGUACACAACCUUCCUACAAGUGGGGAAUAGCCCAGAGAAAUUUGGAUUAAUACCCCGUAACAUAGCGAUGUGGCAUCACAUUGCUAUUAUAGCUUCGGCGCUUGUUGAUGGGUGUGCGGCUGAUUAGAUAGUUGGCGGGGUAACGGCCCACCAAGUCUACGAUCAGUAGCUGAUGUGAGAGCAUGAUCAGCCACUCGGGCACUGAAACACGGGCCCGACUACUACCGGAGGCAGCAGUAAGGAAUAUUGGACAAUGGACGCAAGUCUGAUCCAGCCAUGCCGCGUGAAGGAUUAAGGUCCUCUGGUUUGUAAACUUCUUUUAUAAGGGACGAAAAAAGGUCUUUCUAGAUCGUCUGACGGUACCUUAUGAAUAAGCACCGGCUAACUCCGUGCCAGCCGCCGCAGUAAAAC